GUCAUUCAGGGACACAGGAAUCUGUUGUUCAGCUGUCAGCCAAGUUCAUGAAUAUCUGUGCCUUUCAAAUUCCUCCCAAGAAAGAGGUGAAGUCCCUUGGAACGAUAACUGUAGCAUGGCAUUUAAAAAUCUCUUCAUCAAUUAAUCAUGUUCCUGGAGAGUAGGAGUAAUAACAAGAAUACACACCAUUAUCAUAAAAAGAGAUUAAUAAUUAUUUGCUCAGCAUCUUGGGCAUUUUCUGUAUAUCUACUCAUCCCAGAUAAGUGCUUUGAGGUUUCAUUCCUAUAUGGAAUGUAUGUGAAAAUGUUGGACAGAACAGAAAUCUAACAUUUCCUUGUUGCUGUUAUCAACAGGAGUGAAGUCAAGAGGUGUCUGAGACAGGUAAGUUUUGCAGAAACCUGGCAUCCCAAGGGCUGUCAAGAGAGUGAGCAGCCACCUGGCUCUCCCUGCCCCCAGCAGUGAUGUGCUCCAGAACCACUUAACAAAGAGUGCAAAGGGAAAAAUUGUUCCUGGUGAAGAAAAGAUACUUCAAGUCUUUUGCAGUGUGAGACCAUUCAGAAUUACAUGAGGUGAGACAUAAAAGUAUAAGGGUCUGGAAAAAAAAAAAAAAUCUUAACAUUAAACAUUAAAAGAAUACUUGAAACAAGAACAGGCACUGAAAUGCGGAAGAAUCAGCAGGGAAGACAGAAAAAAAGGGUGAAUAUAAAGACCCAAGGACAGGGUAAGAAAGUUAAGUGAUGACCCAGAAUUAGUAAUAAUAACAAUAAGAAGAAGAAGAAGAAGGAGAAAAGCAUAAUGGGUCUGGUGAGCUGCAGGUGUCCAAAAAGUUCAAUUAGAAGUGGAAAGAGUGAAAGAACACUCUUGCAUCUCAAGCUCUAAAAGAACCAGUGAGAGUCUAUGUAUUCUGCAUGUGAGGAGAAGUCCUUUGCUGUGGCACAGAAACUGGAGCCACUGUACAAGUAUAUCUGUAUGUGACCACAGUCAUCAUCAUUCAAGAUACCUCUGUAUUUCCCUACAGUCAAAGUACAUUAUGUCUUUGAACUACAUCAGUACAUAGGAUGCUGUGUUAUUUUAAGUAUACCAGGCAGCAAUUAUAUUUUCU
rnacentral:lncRNA from 1 species